rnacentral:rRNA from 1 species
UACGUAGGGCGCAAGCGUUGUCCGGAAUUAUUGGGCGUAAAGCGUGCGUAGGCGGUUCGUUAAGUCUGUUGUGAAAGCCCCGGGCUCAACCUGGGAAUGGCAAUGGAUACUGGCGAGCUAGAGUGUGUCAGAGGAUGGUGGAAUUCCCGGUGUAGCGGUGAAAUGCGUAGAGAUCAUGAGGAAGACCAGUGGCGAAGGCGGGUCUCUGGACAGUUCCUGACACUGAGACACGAAGGCCAGGGGAGCAAACGGG